rnacentral:misc_RNA from 1 species
GAUGAAGAACGUAGCGAAAUGCGAUAAGUAAUGCGAAUUGCAGAAUUCAGUGAGUCAUCGAAUCUUUGAACGCACAUUGCGCCCUGUGGUAUUCCGCAGGGCAUGCCUGUUCGAGCGUCAUUUCAACCCUCAAGCCUCGCUUGGUGUUGGGCCCUGCCCGCCGCGGCCGGCCUAAAGAUAGUGGCGGCGCCGCCUGGCCCUCAGCGUAGUACAGCUCUCGCUCCAGGGUCCGGCGGCAGCCUGCCAGAACCCCCCAACUCUGUGGUUGACCUCGGAUCAGGUAGGGAUACCCGCUGAACUUAAGCAUAUCAAUAAGCGGAGGA